GACCAGCCAGGCGCCGGUGGCCCCGACCCCUUCGUCCGGGCAGCAGGGCCAGGCGGGUGAUCAGCCCGAGCAGCUAGGCCAAUAGAGUAGUCUGUAGGAAUAGACUAGUGUCUGCCCGUCAGGGUAUUUAUUGUAAACUUUGUAUGUAAAGUUUGUAAUAAAGUUUGCUUUUUGUCAUGACCGUUGUUUUGAGCGCUGUAAGAAUAUCUGAGUGACGUGUCACCGUAUUUGUCUUGGUUGUCGCUAAGAGCAUCCAUUGCGGGAGUUUUGCCGAGUGCUGUAUGUGACAAGGUAUAGGCAAAAAAUAGAGAAUUUCAUUAUCAAAAAUUAUAAGAUACUUACAAAAGAAAGUCAUUAAGACUUUAUGGAUAGAAACGCCGC
rnacentral:lncRNA from 1 species